AACGAACGCUGGCGGCAUGCCUAACACAUGCAAGUCGAACGGGACCUCCGGGUCUGGCGUCGCACCGGUGCGUAACGCGUGGGAACCUGCCAUUAGAUUCGGCAUCACUCCCCGAAAGGGGUGCUAAUACCGGAUAUUGUCUCCGUUCCAAAGAUUUAUCGCCCUUGGAUGGGCACGUGUUGGAUUAGCUAGUUGGUAGGCUAAAAGCCUACCAAGAGGAGGAUGCAUAUCUGGUCUGAGAGGAUGACCAGCCACACUGGGACUCAGACACGGCCCGGAAUCGUACGAGAAGAAGCAGUGCGGGAUACAGGACAAUGGGCGAGAGCCUGAUCCAGCUAUGCCUCGAAAGAGAUGAAGGGCUUAGGGUAAUAAUAAUAUUUUAGACCGGAUGAUAAUGACAGUACCGGGAGAAUAAGCACCGGCUAACUCCGUG
rnacentral:rRNA from 1 species